GACGAAAGCUGGCGGCGUGCUUAACACAUGCAGGUCGAACGGAAAGGCCCUGCUUUUGUGGGGUGCUCGAGUGGCGAACGGGUGAGUAACACGUGAGUAACCUGCCCUUGACUUUGGGAUAACUUCAGGAAACUGGGGCUAAUACCGGAUAGGAGCUCCUGCUGCAUGGUGGGGGUUGGAAAGUUUCGGCGGUUGGGGAUGGACUCGCGGCUUAUCAGCUUGUUGGUGGGGUAGUGGCUUACCAAGGCUUUGACGGGUAGCCGGCCUGAGAGGGUGACCGGCCACAUUGGGACUGAGAUACGGCCCAGACUCCUACGGGAGGCAGCAGUGGGGAAUAUUGCACAAUGGGCGGAAGCCUGAUGCAGCAACGCCGCGUGCGGGAUGACGGCCUUCGGGUUGUAAACCGCUUUCGCCUGUGACGAAGCGUGAGUGACGGUAAUGGGUAAAGAAGCACCGGCUAACUACGUG
rnacentral:rRNA from 1 species